GAUAGAUGCACCUCUAAGAACAAAUCAACAAAUUCAUUCUCUCCUCCUUUCUUGUGACCACUCCAUGCCAAGGCAGUCAGGAUGGAUGGUGUAUAUUAAUAGUCAAUUAUCAUAUCAAUAGUAGCCAAUAUCAUAUCACUGCGAUGGCGAUGGAGUCGGACACCAUGCAAGGAAGACAGGGCAACUACCACUGAUUGAGAAGUCUUGGGUCCUGCAAUACACCUUCAAGUUUAGGAGAGUGUUGUAAUUGGAGCCUGAAAAAAAAUACAAGCAGAGAGCCAGAGCAAGACAACCUUAAUUUAAGUAGCCUAACUGCAAAGUGUGGUUAUGGCUGUACAGCAUAGAAAUCCUGCAGGAAGUGCAAAAGUUAAACAUACUAGCACAAUCAAAGACUUUUCAAGGUGCAUGUUCUUCCAUACCAUCACUGGUAUGAGGCUGGGUCCUCUUGCAGAGUGACCUUCUCCUGUUUGUUUGCUCAAACAGUCUUGAAAGUGGAUGUCUCUUAGAGAGGACUGGAAAGUAACUCUCCCUGCAUCUUUGUCUCUCUUGUUGUCUCUCCCUGAUUUUAUUCUGCGUGUAGUUCCUCGGCUCUAAUUUCAAGUAGAGAUACCAUCACUAAAGGCCUAGAAACCUAAUUGGCAAAUGUGGUUCCCUGCCUUUUUCCAGACAAUUUCAGUUCCUUGGCAAACAUACGGAAUAACGUAAGCCUUGCCUUGCAAUCAGUCAUGGUUGCUGCUGUAUGUGUUUCCUCAUAUGUUUAACACCCUCAUAUGUUUAAGUAUUUAAUCUGGGCUACAGAAACAAUGCACUCAAUGCAAAUUCUCGCUGUAGGCCAGUUAUGUGUGAUUAUACCCAGAGAUAAGGAUGCAGACAUGAUGCACUGCUUUUGUAUUUCCUGUAGAGAUGCCUAAACUAUGUCUCGGCACGCCUGAUGUAACACAGACUGUUCUUCUUGCUUUGGAACUUAUACAUCAACUACCAUUAAAUGCCUCUGAGUGAUUAUAUCACGCUCCCACAAACCCGCCAAGGCAAGUGCCAUGUGCUUACAGUGGUGGAAGCAACCACUGUAUUGCUGGAAUAUGUCCCAUGUCCCACAGCACUUCCCAAAGCACUGUCCUGGGCCUUGGCAAGCAAGUCUUAUGGUGACACGGCACCCCAGAAGGAACGGAGUCCGGCAAUGAGACUCGCUUCUGAAACAGCCUCAUAGAUGUAAUUGUAUUGUGCAUCACUUGUUUUGUAUAUUCUUUUAUCAUUAUUAUAAUGAUUUUCCCUUCGUUUUCUGUCCUAUUAAACAACCUUUGU
ensembl:lncRNA